CAGAUCCAUUUUCUGCCACCGAAUACAUUAGCAUGGGAUAAUGGAAUAGGACCCUGUCCUCCUAUUUUCAGUUGGUUUUGGCAGCGCGAGGACUAGGGUAAUGAUUAAUAGGGAUAGUUGGGGGCAUUAAUAUUUAAUUGUCAGAGGUGAAAUUCUUGGAUUUAUGAAAGAUUAACUUCUGCGAAAGCAUCUGCCAAGGAUGUUUUCAUUAAUCAAGAACGAAAGUUAGGGGAUCGAAGACGAUCAGAUACCGUCGUAGUCUUAACCAUAAACGAUGCCGACCAGCGAUUAGGAGACGUUGAAUACAAAACACCACCAUCGGUUGCGGCCGCCUUGGGCGUCGCGGUUUCGGCCGGGGGGCGGGGAUGGCUUAGCCCGGGGGCACCGGGGAAUGACUCCCCUAGCAGCUUGGGAAAA
rnacentral:rRNA from 1 species